UCGUAAACAGAACCUGGAGGAGCUAUUGGCAACCAUCCCAAGUGGGCUCAUGGGUAGACAAAACAGUUACCGAGAAGAGCAAUUGGCGCUUGUAAAAGAGGCAGCUGGGGCUUCCGGUUGCACGAGCCACUGGUAGCAAUAAGCUAGGAGGCCAUUGGAAUCAAAAGCUGGCUACCCUACUGAGCAAAAAGACCGUGAAUUCUGCUGCUGCAUCCCUGAAGUCAUGAAAACGAGAAAAAACAAGGUCCAGCCUUUGUUUCUGAGUUUAUCGUGAGCCAGAUUUCCUACUUCUUCUGGAUGUCUUAGCCAGUGCUUGGCUCCAGGUCAGUGCUUUGAUGGAAUGCUGCCUGACACUUCCUGGCCUUUUCUCGGUGAAGCCAUCCCCAACAAGGAUCAAAAUGUCUGCAGACGCAUAGCCAUACUACAACUCAAGCAAUAAUCUAAGACCUAACAAAAGUUGGCUCAUGGGCUGGUAGAAUCAGUUCAUGGACUUGGUAGUAGAAGGUUUGCCUCAAACGCACAAGGCCUUGGGUUUAGUCCCCAAUACUGCAAAUGUAAAACCUGUGAAAAGGUUGCUUUGGUGGGCUUACUGCCCUCCCUUACAGCUCCAGAAGCAGAGACCCCACCCAGUUUCACCCACCAUUCCCUGGAAGUGCCUGAGACUGCGUUUUUCCUAGCAAACGUUCCAGUAGCAUCGUGAUGAAUCUCACAGAGCUGGAAGUGAUGUGCUCUGAGACCACCACCACUACCCAGGUGUCAGAAAUCAAGAGCAGGAGAAGCCCCAGGGUACAGGGAUGCUCUGGCUUCGAGGACCCUGUUAGCUCCACCUAGCCAAGCCAGUUCCAUGUUUUGCCAUCUUCAGGCACAAACCCACAUCUGCCUCAUUGCAUUGGUUUGAGAAUAAAAUAUGCUGACACUCGAACUUAAAAUUCUGCAUUUCCUUCUAAACACCUAAAUCGUUAAUGUGCACUUUUAAGACUGAUCGGCAGGGGAGUGCCAACACCCUACCCCAAAGGCUAAUAUUAAGCAUUUCCAUUACUUUUGCCCUCUUAGAACUGAGCCGUAGGAACUGCUGAUGUGUUGGCUUUAUCACAUCCAAGAAGAGCACCCGGAGGGACAACUGAUCAACAUUCAUUACCGACAGUAAACACAGGAAGCAGCCAAGGAUCGGCUUAAACCUUGACAGAAAACCCUCCUCUGUCACUGACUUCAGUGACCCCGAUACAGCUAGUGUCUGCUAAUCAUUCACUAUUGUGCCAUGCGCCACGGCCUGACUUCUGCUCCUUCACUUAUUUAGAAUCUAAUCUCAGCUCUCUGAGGCCAAAUGGGUUAGCCAAUGAGGUGAAUGAUUUACCUUUUGUGUUGUCCCUUCAGGCAUCACUGCCCUUUAAGGUUUAAGGUCUAGAAAAGGAAAUAAUACAUACUUCCUGCCUUCAGAGUUUGAAAUUCCAUUGGGAGGAAGAGAGAGCUUACAGGAAAGUAAUAUAUGGAUAUUGGGACUUGAGGUGACCCGGUUAGUAAAAUACACAUGAGUUUGAUGUCCAGCAUCUGUAGACAAGUGGUCAGCGCAUGCCAGGACUCUCGACACUGGGGAAAUGGAGCCAGGGGAUCCCUGGGACUUGCUGGCUAUCUAGUGUAGAAGAAUUAGUGAGCUCCAGGUUCAGCGAGAGACUCUGU